rnacentral:rRNA from 1 species
GAACGGGAGCUUGCUCCCUGGAUUAGUGGCGAACGGGUGAGUAACACGUGAGUAACCUGCCCUUGACUCUGGGAUAAGCACUGGAAACGGUGUCUAAUACCGGAUACGAACCUCCACUGCAUGGUGAGGGGUUGGAAAGAAUUUUGGUCAAGGAUGGACUCGCGGCCUAUCAGCUAGUUGGUGAGGUAAUGGCCCACCAAGGCGACGACGGGUAGCCGGCCUGAGAGGGUGACCGGCCACACUGGGACUGAGACACGGCCCAGACUCCUACGGGAGGCAGCAGUGGGGAAUAUUGCACAAUGGGCGCAAGCCUGAUGCAGCAACGCCGCGUGAGGGACGACGGCCUUCGGGUUGUAAACCUCUUUUAGUAGGGAAGAAGCGAAAGUGACGGUACCUGCAGAAAAAGCACCGGCUAACUACGUGCCAGCAGCCGCGGUAAUACGUAGGGUGCAAGCGUUAUCCGGAAUUAUUGGGCGUAAAGAGCUCGUAGGCGGUUUGUCGCGUCUGCUGUGAAAACUGGGGGCUCAACCCCCAGCCUGCAGUGGGUACGGGCAGACUAGAGUGCGGUAGGGGAGAUUGGAAUUCCUGGUGUAGCGGUGGAAUGCGCAGAUAUCAGGAGGAACACCAAUGGCGAAGGCAGAUCUCUGGGCCGUAACUGACGCUGAGGAGCGAAAGCAUGGGGAGCGAACAGGAUUAGAUACCCUGGUAGUCCAUGCCGUAAACGUUGGGAACUAGAUGUAGGGUCCAUUCCACGGAUUCUGUGUCGCAGCUAACGCAUUAAGUUCCCCGCCUGGGGAGUACG